rnacentral:rRNA from 1 species
UACGGAGGAUGCGAGCGUUAUCCGGAAUGAUUGGGCGUAAAGGGUGCGCAGGCGGAUUUUUAAGUCAGCGGUAAAAUUGCGGGGCUCAACCCCGUCGAGCCGUUGAAACUGGCAGACUUGAGUUGGAGAGAAGUAUGCGGAAUGCGCGGUGUAGCGGUGAAAUGCAUAGAUAUCGCGCAGAACUCCGAUUGCGAAGGCAGCAUGCCGGCUCCACACUGACGCUGAGGCACGAAAGCGUGGGUAUCGAACAGG